rnacentral:rRNA from 1 species
GGGCCUUACUCAGGUCUGGGGAACCACUGGAACGGUGGCUAAUACCGGAUGUGCCGGAAGGUGAAAGGCUUGCUGCCUGAAGAUGAGCUCGCGUCCGAUUAGCUAGUAGGUGGGGUAAGAGCCUACCUAGGCGACGAUCGGUAGCUGGUCUGAGAGGAUGACCAGCCACACUGGGACUGAGACACGGCCCAGACUCCUACGGGAGGCAGCAGUGGGGAAUUUUCCGCAAUGGGCGAAAGCCUGACGGAGCAAUACCGCGUGAGGGAGGAAGGCUCUUGGGUUGUAAACCUCUUUUCUCAGGGAAGAACACAAUGACGGUACCUGAGGAAUCAGCAUCGGCUAACUCCGUGCCAGCAGCCGCGGUAAUACGGAGGAUGCAAGCGUUAUCCGGAAUGAUUGGGCGUAAAGCGUCCGCAGGUGGCUGUGUAAGUCUGCUGUCAAAGAGCAAAGCUCAACUUUGUAAAGGCAGUGGAAACUACACGGCUAGAGUGCGUUCGGGGCAGAGGGAAUUCCUGGUGUAGCGGUGAAAUGCGUAGAGAUCAGGAAGAACACCGGUGGCGAAGGCGCUCUGCUAGGCCGCAACUGACACUGAGGGACGAAAGCUAGGGGAGCGAAUGGGAUUAGAUACUCCCAGUAGUC